AGAUAGAUGGCUCAGUGGCUAGGGCGAUCGCCUAUCACUUACUAAAUCUUAGGUUCGAACACUACUCUACUA
rnacentral:tRNA from 1 species